rnacentral:rRNA from 1 species
UACAGAGGUCCCAAGCGUUGUUCGGAUUCACUGGGCGUAAAGGGUGCGUAGGCGGUCGGGUAAGUCUGAUGUGAAAUCUCACAGCUUAACUGUGAAACUGCAUUGGAUACUAUCCGGCUUGAGGAAUGGAGGGGAGACUGGAAUACUUGGUGUAGCAGUGAAAUGCGUAGAUAUCAAGUGGAACACCAGUGGCGAAGGCGGCCCGCUGGGCAGUGGCUGACGCUGAGGCGCGACAGCGUGGGGAGCAAACAGG